AGUGGGCUGAGAUGAAAACAGGCUAACCUGGAAGGGGUAUUGCAGUUUUGUAUGUACAUAGCAUACUUUUUAAGAAAUAUCAGUUUUGUUAAUUCCUACCACUCACUCUCACACACACACACACAGUAUAUUGUUACACACUCACACAUUUUGGGGAUUAGCCCCUUUAGCAAAAAUACGGCAUAUAUUGUGUUAAUCUGAGAUGUCGAUUCCCCAGCGAGCAGGUCUUCUAAGGCUUGAGGCACAUUGCUGCAGAAACGAAGCGAAGUGGCAUGUCUUUUCUAUACUGAUACAAAGUAAACUCAACUUUAUCUCCACUUGUAUACAGUUGGUUAUGAAGUUAGCAAUACCUAAAGAUUUUUUAUGUAAAAAAAUAGCGAGCAAAUGAGCAGUCGGGUCACCUGAAGUUCUAGAUUUCUAGAAUCUAGAUUCUAGAUGAUAGUGGAGGGCAUAUUGUGCACAUAGGUACUGCCCGCUGUGAUGAACCAAUGUGUAGACGCACAGGCAUCCGUGCUGUUGCAUCUAACAUCGUAUAAACAAAUAGAUCGAUAAAUCAUUUACUGCACAGAUUUUAGGUCUGAUGCCAACUGACACUUUCACAGUAAUUGUGAAACAAAACUAAUAAGACUGAAAGAAUAUGCGUGUCGAUUUGUUUCUUUGUUGAAAUGAUUCCUGAUAAAACGUUCACUGUAAAUAGUGCUGAUAAGUUCAGUUUACUUUGAACCAUUUUAGAAACGACGCGUCUUAGUCGCCCGCAAUAUGUCUUGACCCUAAGUUUAACAAAUAAUCCCACUUUUACUGUAAUCUAUAUGAUGAAUUGGAUCUUUACACAUACAAAAGUAGUUGAUUGCGACGGUCAAUAUGACCGCGGAACUCUAGACCGCUCUCUGUGGAAUCUACGCCAAACAUAGUAUAGUCUAGGAGCUAGGAGUUAAUAAAAAAGCAUAUUUGUGCAAAUGAUAUGCAGGCUGUCUCUCUCAUUGCUUUAUUUAUUGAUUUAUUUAUUUUUGCUCAUUGACUACAUUCAAAGAAACAUUAAAUUUCAAAAACACUUUACACUCCUUUUUUAUUUUUAACCUUUUUUUGAAACACAAUGAAUUCUAUAUUAAAUACAAAUCUUAUAUUAUGAAAGGGCCAAAAUUUUUUGUAUGGCAAAAAUAAAUUUCGACUUAAUGAUUAGUCAAAUCACUAUUUAAGAUACAAAUUCGUAUCUUAUUAAAUUCAUUCUUUGUCUUUAAAUGUUUACUUAAAAUUAUGGGCUAAUUUUCUUCAUUAUGCUACGAAAAUGCCAAAUUUCACUGUAAAUUCAAAAAAUCACAAAUCACAUGAAAUAUUACAUAGAACAAUAAUUUUAUUAGAAACAUUCAAAAUUAUCUAGUCAGGCUUAGGCUGGCCGCAUAUUAUCGAAAACUGGCUAAUUCUAUUGUACUAAAAUGACAGCUUGUGUAAAUAUAUUGCCAUCCCUCUCAUAAUACUCCCUGUGGAUAAAGAUAGCACUAGAUUUGGACCUGUCAUUUUAGUUUACAGAUUGUGUGCAAUAGAAUAAGCCUUCCUGAUAAUAUGCGGCCAGCUUUGAAAAAAAAAUGCAUUUAUAAUUUAUUUAUUCACAUCACAUCAGAAACCACAUAUCAUUUGCAUGAAAAAUUAGGCAAUUAAUUCAUCAUACAUAUUAUAACAUACGAGGUGCUUAAGGGCUUAUAAUUUAUCAUACCUAUUAUACUGUUUCCAUCUUCCAAAAAAGGUUAAUGUGAUUUUUUUUUGUGACAGCCUAUUUGGUUACUGUAAUUUUUUUUAGUUUUCGGACUAGUUUUUUUAUAAUUAUUAGAACAUCGUCCAUCUCGCUCUUGAGUAUGUCUCGCUCGUAAAUGUUGGUUGAAAUAGCAUGUACGCACCGAAAUACCGAAGAGAGUACUCUUAAUAGUCUGUUACUAACCAUAUUUCUCUUUUUUCUGAAUAAAUUACUAUUAAAUAGCAUGAAGAAAAAAAAUGUAUUAAACUAUUGUGUAAUUAUAGUUUGAAAAUCACUGAAGCAUAUUUUUCCAUUGUAAUUUAAGUGUUUCAUUGAAACUAAUUCACAUGUUAUAUCAUAAUAUCAUAGUCAACGAGUCAAUGAUUUAAAUUGGUAUAGUUUGUUAAAAGUUCUAAAACUGUUACUGUAAAUGGUUUCAACUUUUACGAAAAAUGCCCCUCAAUUUAUUUCGUGGACUCUUGCACUAUUUUGAGUAGUGUAGUACACUAAACCUACCUUAAAAUUGGACAAUAGACAAUAUCUCA